rnacentral:lncRNA from 1 species
UUUAGGGUUAUAACAAAACAAAUGAAUCACCUCUACACCACAGUCAGAGACUCAGAGAACAAGUGAUGAAGUGACAAAUCGCCUCCACAGUCACCUCCGUUGAUUGCCGACACCGGCGCCAUCCUCCUCCGUGGUUCCGCCUCCGCCGACAGCUUUUAAGCGGGUUAUUGAUAACAUGUUUAAUGGAAAAGAAGCCGGGGCAUCUAGUGGACAAACCGGUGUGGACGCACGUUUGAAGGGCUCACUUUAAAAGGUAAUUAGGAGGUCAUGGAUGGCGAUCAAGCGACAAGAUGAUGAACCGAACACUCUUUUUUGAAGCUUCCGCUAUGUUUGAACUUGUUAAUCAGUGUUCCUUUUGUUGUAAUCAAUUUCUUAAACAACAAUAUUACGUUCAACCUUUGUCUUAGUAGACUUAGGAUGUAAUAGUUUUGAAACUUAUGUUAAUUUAACGCCUUUUGGUAUAAAAUAGUAGAGUUAGGAUCCUGUAAAAAAAGGCCCAAAGUGUGAGAAAGAUAAGAAAGAAUAUCAGCCAUUAGAUCUUUUGAUCUAAUGGUUGAGAUCAAUAGGGACCAAAAUGUA